rnacentral:rRNA from 1 species
CCCUUAGAUGUUCUGGGCCGCACGCGCGCUACACUGAUGCAUUCAACAAGCCUAGCCUUGACCGAGAGGUCCGGGUAAUCUUUGAAACUGCAUCGUGAUGGGGCUAGAUUAUUGCAAUUAUUAAUCUUCAACGAGGAAUGCCUAGUAAGCGUGAUUCAUCAAAUCGCGUUGAUUACGUCCCUGCCCUUUGUACACACCGCCCGUCGCUCCUACCGAUUGAAUGUGUUGGUGAGGAGCUCGGAUUGGCAGCAGUUGGUGGUUCGCCACCGGCUAUUGCUGCGAAGUCCUCCAAACCGCCCCAUUUAGAGGAAGGAGAAGUCGUAACA